UUGAGGGAUUGAGGGCUGGGGCCGGGUCCGGUCCCGGCGGGAUUAGCCCGCGGCCGCUCGGUGAGACAGCAUUUGGCUUAGGGCUGCUUGAAAAGCGGUGUGUAAGGUCGGGGUGACAUUGCUGUGAGCUAAUUUAAAAUGGAAAGGCAUGAGCUGCCUCUUGGCUGGUGGCUGCCGGGCCACACCCAGCCCGGGAGGAUGAGGAAAUGAUUUUAUUGCUUGCUGAAAGUAGCUUUUUAAUUAGGAAGAACUUGUUUGAUUUGUUCCGCUCUCGCCAUCACUUCUGGUUUGGAAGCUGCUGAUGGAUGAGGGUCCCUGUGGUACUCCCACACCUCUGCACAGCAUUUCGUCUUUUUCCCAGGUGGAUAAUUAACCUUUCUUCUCUCCAGAGACAAAGGAACAUGACACCACUUUUUAUUUUUCUUUUUUUUUUUUUCUUUCUGGCUGAAGAAACAACUGCAGCAAGUUGUGUGGCCCCAGGCUGCCUUUUCUUCACCUGUACCAGGAUCUGAUCUCUGGGAUCUCUUUCUUUCUUGCCAUGGAACACCUGCAGAUGGAGUUGGUGCUUCAGGAAAUGUGGGGAUGAACACCUGGGCAUGCUCCUGGCAGUGAUUGCACCUGAUGCUGUUCAAGGGUUUGGGGUCAUGCAGGGACCAAGGCCAGUGGUUCUGAGUGGCCCAUCAGGUGCAGGGAAAAGCACUUUGUUAAAGAAAUUGCUCAAAGAUUAUGAGAACAUCUUCGGCUUCAGCGUCUCCCACACCACAAGGCAGCCGAGACCUGGAGAAGUGAAUGGCAAAGAUUAUCACUUUGUGUCCAGAGAGGAAAUGCAGAAGGAAAUUGAUGCUGGUGAAUUUAUCGAGCACGCGGAGUUCUCCGGGAACAUGUACGGGACAAGUAAAGGAGCUGUGCAGGCCGUGCAGGCCCAGAACCAGAUCUGUGUCCUCGACAUCGACAUCCAGGGCGUGAAGAACAUCAAGAAGACGGAGCUGAACCCCAUCUACAUCUCGGUGCAGCCGCCGUCCAUUGAGAUCCUGUACAUCAGGCAGGCUCUGUUUCUCGUUGAGUUUGUGGAGGAGGAAGCCAGCAGCACCAGAUGCCAGAGCCCAGCAGAGAGAUCUCAUUUCCAGCAGUACCUGGAAAAAUAAAUAAAUGAGAGGGAGGAGAAACGACUACGGGACCGAAAGACGGAGACAGAGGAGAGUUUACAGAGGCGUUUGACUGCAGCCCGCGUGGACCUGGAGCUCAGUAAAGAGCCUGGGCUGUUCGACCUGGUCAUCAUCAAUGAUGAUUUAGAAAAGGC